rnacentral:rRNA from 1 species
AUUGAACGCUGGCGGCAUGCCUUACACAUGCAAGUCGAACGGCAGCACGGGAGCAAUCCUGGUGGCGAGUGGCGAACGGGUGAGUAAUAUAUCGGAACGUGCCCAGUCGUGGGGAUAACGUAGCGAAAGCUACGCUAAUACCGCAUACGAUCUAUGGAUGAAAGCGGGGGAUCGCAAGACCUCGCGCGAUUGGAGCGGCCGAUAUCAGAUUAGGUAGUUGGUGAGGUAAAGGCUCACCAAGCCGACGAUCUGUAGCUGGUCUGAGAGGAUGACCAGCCACACUGUGACUUAGACACGGCCCAGACUCCUACGGGAGGCAGCAGUGGGGAAUUUUGGACAAUGGGCGCAAGCCUGAUCCAGCAAUGCCGCGUGCAGGAUGAAGGCC